rnacentral:rRNA from 1 species
CGCGUAGGUGGUUUGUUAAGUUGGAUGUGAAAGCCCCGGGCUCAACCUGGGAACUGCAUCCAAAACUGGCAAGCUAGAGUACGGUAGAGGGUGGUGGAAUUUCCUGUGUAGCGGUGGAAUGCGCAGAUAUCAGGAGGAACACCGAUGGCGAAGGCAGAUCUCUGGGCCGCUACUGACGCUGAGGAGCGAAAGCAUGGGGAGCGAACA